UACGGGGGGAGCAAGCGUUGUUCGGAUUUACUGGGCGUAAAGGGCGCGUAGGCGGUCGUGACAAGUCACUUGUGAAAUCUCCGGGCUUAACUCGGAACGGUCAAGUGAUACUGUCGGACUAGAGUACAGAAGGGGCAACUGGAAUUCUCGGUGUAGCGGUGAAAUGCGUAGAUAUCGAGAGGAACACCUGCGGCGAAGGCGGGUUGCUGGGCUGAUACUGACGCUGAGGCGCGAAGCCAGGGGAGCGAACGGG
rnacentral:rRNA from 1 species